UACGAAGGGGGCUAGCGUUGUUCGGGAUUACUGGGCGUAAAGCGCGCGUAGGCGGGUCAUUAAGUCAGUGGUGAAAUCCCGGGGCUCAACCUCGGAAUUGCCUCUGAUACUGGUGACCUCGAGUCCGUGAGAGGUGAGUGGAACUCCGAGUGUAGAGGUGAAAUUCGUAGAUAUUCGGAGGAACACCAGUGGCGAAGGCGGCUCACUGGCUCGAUACUGACGCUGAGGUGCGAAAGCGUGGGGAGCAAACAGG
rnacentral:rRNA from 1 species